GUGCACAAUUCAUUGUCCUGCUCUUCAUUCCCGUUAAGAGUGGUGAUAUUUCUGUUGUGCUAGAAAAAAACUGGAGGUAAAUUAGCAGAAUGGCGACUUGAUGGCCUCUCUGCCAGUCCCCUUCAAACAAUU